GUAGGUGGCGAGCGUUGUCCGGAAUUAUUGGGCGUAAAGCGCGCGCAGGCGGUUCUUUAAGUCUGAUGUGAAAGCCCACGGCUCAACCGUGGAGGGUCAUUGGAAACUGGAGAACUUGAGUACAGAAGAGGAAAGCGGAAUUCCACGUGUAGCGAUGAAAUGCGUAGAGAUGUGGAGGAACACCAGUGGCGAAGGCGGCUUUCUGGUCUGUAACUGACGCUGAGGCGCGAAAGCGUGGGGAGCAAACAGGAUUAGAUACCCUGGUAGUCCACGCCGUAAACGAUGAGUGCUAAGUGUUAGGGGGGUUUUCCGCCCCCCUUAGUGCUGCAGCUAACGCAUUAAGCACUCCGCCUGGGAGUACGGCCGCAAGGCUG
rnacentral:rRNA from 1 species